CGUGUAUUAGGCAUGCAAGUCGUGCGAGAAAGUACCUUCGGGGUGCGAGUAAAGCGGCGGACGGGUGAGUAACACGUGGAUAACCUGCCUUUGAGACCGGGAUAACCGCUCGAAAGAGUGGCUAAUACCGGAUGUGAUUAUUCCCUCACAAGAAGGAAUAAUUAAAGAUGGCCUCUACUUGUAAGCUGUCACUCAUUGAGGGGUCCGCGGCCUAUCAGCUUGUUGGUGAGGUAACGGCUCACCAAGGCUAUGACGGGUAGCUGGUCUGAGAGGAUGAUCAGCCACAGUGGAACUGAGACACGGUCCACACUCCUACGGGAGGCAGCAGCCAAGAAUCUUGGGCAAUGGGCGAAAGCCUGACCCAGCAACGCCGCGUGGAGGAUGAAGGCCUUCGGGUUGUAAACUCCUGUCAGAAGGGACGAAACUGUUUCGGUAAACAGCCGGGACAGGUGACGGUACCUUCAAAGGAAGCCCCGGCUAAUUACGUUGCCAGCAGCCCCGCGGUAAGACGUAUGGGGCAAGCGUUGCUCGGAUUAACUGGGCGUAAAGGGCGCGUAGGUGGUGUUGAAAGUCAAAUGUGAAAGCUCACGGCUUAACUGUGAAUCCGCAUUUGAAACUUCGACACUUGAGUUCAGGUGAGGAGAAUGGAAUUCCAGGUGUAGGAGUGAAAUCUGUAGAUAUCUGGAAGAACACCAGUGGCGAAGGCGAUUCUCUAACCUGAUACUGACACUGAGGUGCGAAAGCGUGGGGAGCGAACAGGAUUAGAUACCCUGGUAGUCCACGCUGUAAACGAUGGAUACUUGGUGU
rnacentral:rRNA from 1 species